rnacentral:lncRNA from 1 species
GCGAUUCUGCGUGCAGCCCCAGGCUCGUGCUCCUCUCCAUAAUCCUUUACUGAUGGCGCCAGGCUGGGCUUCUGGGGCCCCUACAGGAUGGUCAAUGGGGGCUGGCUCUGGGUCCGCGAAGCAUUCUGUGCUCUGAUGGGAAGACUUAAAGGGAAACAAAGGGACCUCUGAAGAGUAUGAAUCACAUUAUUGGCACGGGUAAGUGGGUACUGGUAGCAACAGCAGGUGGUGUGGGUGGGGGUUGCCAAGAGGGCGAGGUAGGAAAUA